GGUGGCUCAGUGGUAGAGCGUUUGCUUUGCAUGCCUGAGGCCCUGGGUUCGAUUCCUAGCACCA
rnacentral:tRNA from 1 species